ensembl:lncRNA
CAAAAAUAAAUGGGUGAAACCUAUUAGGAACCUCUGCUGACCUUGAGGCACAAGCUCACAGGUGGACGAAAUCUACCUCCUACAGCUCCGUUCUGCUGAUUAGGAGGGUGAAAAUGAUUAAGAAGGAGCCCAUGUUUGUGCCGCUGGUGAGAGAUGGAUGGGUCAGAUUACUCCACCCCACCCACUGCAUCAGCAUAUGUCCUUGCCAUUGCUGUCCCCCAUUUCUGCCUGCCCUGUCUGCUUCCUGCUGGAAACCCGUCUGCAGAGCAGAAGGGCUGAGAUAACAACCAGCUGUGAGCGAGGCUGUCUGUGCUCAGCUCUUGGUGGUCCGGUGCGUCAGGAGAGGAC